GAGCGGCUGAGAGCUCAUGUCUCAUGAACCGGAAAAUGCACUAAAGGAGAUAAACCACCGAAAGUGUUCUCGUGUCUCAAGGUGUGUGAGGAAAUAUAUUCACCCUCAAGCAGUGGCCGUUCUUUUUAUAUCUGCACUGAUCUGAGAGGAAAUGCUUUAAGUGUUUGUAUUAUUUCACGUUGCUGGGACACCCAAGGUAAAAAUAAUAAACAUUCAGAUGUUGAUUUUACUGCAUGCAUCUCAUCGGUCAAAACAUUGCCUCAUUUCGGACAACUUGUAAUAAUAUGUUGAGUAGUUAAGUAAUGUGUAAAUUAUCCCCUUUGGAAGCGUCAUAAAAAUGUAUGCAAUUCUAAAAGACAAAUCUAUGAAGGCCGUAUUCUCAAUAUUUUCUUUGGGCAGAUUUCAGUUUUAUUCAUGUGCAUGUUUCAAGACGGAUUUGAUCAUAUAACAUUCAUGACCUGAUGAAACAAUGUAUUACUAAAAAAGUAUUAAAUGAAAACAAAGACUUAUGUUCAUGUCCUUUUGGGAGUUUUCAAAUUCGAGUAAUAAAAUACGCAAAAUGUCCGAACUAACAUUUCAACAAAAUGAUCCAGAACAAAGCUGACUGUAGCGAGGUAUGAGGAGCCAUGUGCAGAGGCACACUAAAGCAGUCUUAACGGAAGUCUUCUAAUGGCCGACAAGCCCCAUUUGUUGUUAAUGUGUUAUUUGAUUAGACUCUGCAGCCACAGCGCACAGUAAUAGUGCAGAAUGGAGUUUCUUAAUCAGGUAGCAGGCUAGAAAGAGAAUGAACACACUGUUGCUCUGGCAGUGAUGCUAACCAUGUGUUUUAUAGAGCACACUGCACAUGUAUGCAGAGACAAACUUCAUCUAAAGUCUCUACAGCUGUUGUAGUCUACAGAGAGCUGAUACCUCAAAAUACAAAAAGACAUUUCUAUUCAUUGCAUCGCUCCAACUCUGUGAUAGUAAGAGAAAAGAGCAGAGGGAGAUAAUCAAUCAUAAUUAUUUGCUAUAUAAAGAUUAUUUAAUUGCACAGUAUCUGAAUACUUACCAUAUUCCUUGUGCAUCCCACAGAAGAAAAUUCCACGCAGAGUCACCACCUGCCAUAAGUCCAGGUAGCUAUUAGUAAAUGUAAUGUAGCAUUGGAUGGUGUCAAUGGCAACACAGUUUGAGUGUUCCCAAUAUGCAUUUCUUGUGUGUAAAAAGUUGUAAAAUACAUUUGAAAUAAAUGAUACAUUCGGGGCAGCAACUGCAUUUCAAAGCCUUCCUUAAACGUUUCAGGAAUCUGAGCUGUGUGGGAGUUGGUGCCCCAUAUAUUAGAUUGUUGUAUGAUAAUAAAACCCAGGCGCCACAGAAUAAACAAACAUAAACAUAGAGGAAAGACAACCAUACACUUGACAACUGCUUGUAUUGCUGGUGAGCAGCUGUCUUUAUUAAUAUCACAGAUAAUUCUCAAAGUUCAGUGUACGGUAAUAAAACUAUUACAAGAAAUUGAAACUCUAGUUCAGAAUCAUAAGGUUUAUUACGGAGCAGUAACAUUACAUAACCUGUUGUGUUAACACUGCAGCGGUUUAAUCCUAAAAGAAGUCUUGUCAGUCCCUGUGCAGACGGUGUGUUUGUGUUGGGGGGGGGUCACAGCCAGCAGGGAAGCAGCUGUGGCCCUCCUGAGACGUGAGCCCAUGACCCUGAAAUCAUGCGCUCCGGGGCUCCCAAACAACCGAGCCAAGCACCAGAAAUCAGACACCUCUCCACCAAUUCCACCGCCGCCGCGGCUCUCCCUGGUCUCAGGCAUGCAAAGUCUGCCAGGGGACAACCGAGGGAAGUCAACGUCAUUUCAAUUCCAGGUUCCCCAGUCUUGGUUUCUACCCCAAGCCACCACCACCAGCCUUCCCCUUAUGGCACCAAGCUGGUACCUCACGCCUGACAUUGAUCUGUACUUCAAAACCACAACAGGGCCUCACGUUCCGUCCCUCUGCUGACACAAACGAUUUGUCGAGAUGGGGCCUACACAGCUGAAUAGCUGCAAAGCCCUCCGGCCCCCUGAAACCCCGCCCCCCCCUCCAACUUUUCCGCUCCACAUCUAAACUGACAAGCAGUGUGUUUUGGUUUUGCAAUGCAAAGCAGAGUUUUGCUCUUCAAAUAUCUGGCAUACAAGCACAUAAGCAAACAGAAAAAAACACCCAAAAAACCAAAUACCAGUGUGAUUCUGAGACUGGGGUCAACGCAUUUCACAAACUUGAUACUGCAAUUCAUUUAAUAUUCAUGGAACCAUUUUUCCACAUAAAAUAACUCCUUUUUCUGAGGGCAAAGGGUUUCCUUUUUACAGACAAUAAUAUCAGUUCUGUGUAUGACCACAGGCUGGAUGCAGUGAAUGCUGCGGCUCAAGUAGGAACAAAAUGUUGGCCAUAUAUGUUCCUGCAAACCACACAUUCAUUAAGUGUUGACAUUUUUGCAUAGAAAUUGAUGUAGUACAGCGAAAGAAUGAAGUAAGACAACUUGGGGUGGGAGCUCUGGUGGAUGGGUCAAAGAAACUCAGAACCAUCACCUGGGUUUAGGUCCUUUGUGAAGCCAAAAGUAAAUGUUAACUUUUUCUUGUUAAUGACAAUUGUGUUAGCGUUGGUGUUUUGUUGCGUCCACGUGUAAUGGAGUGGUUUUCAGAAAACAUACACCAGCAACGUUUCUGCAAGCAACUUCGUUGGUUGGAUAACCUGUAACUACAAAAUAUCUGGAGAACUCAUUCAAUUUACUAGCAUUGACUUCCCAAUGCAUUUGAGUCCCACUGCUGCCAUAUCCACUGGCGUUUCUCUUCACAUCUUUGAAUCCAGCGUUACAAGCUUGUAAUCCCUUGUCAAACACACCAGAUAGAGUAUCCAUCAGAAAACUAACCUCAACCUUCAAAGACCUGGCUCAUAACCUCUCAGAGUGAAACGAUAGGAAGUCACAUGUUGAGGGUGUGAGUGAUGAGUCUGGUCUGUCUCUUCGUCACAUUCCUCAGUCUGAUCACCAAACAGAGGCCAUGCCCACAUUAUUGAGAGGAGACCAGGAUUUUGAGAUGUAUCCUUUAAAGCUACAAGGACGGAAAGAAAGCUGGUUUUGGGUUAACGAUAGCCCAAAACAGACAAGUCAUGUUGUAUGGCUAUGGAUUCCAGAACGUCUGGACACCUAAUUUUAUAUGUGAGGACUGAGAUUUUAAAUUAAAUUCAGUCAGUCCCUUAACAAGGGCAGGGCUUUUUGGGGCUCACUUGUCUUCCCACUUAUGCUAUAAGAUGACCUUGAGGAUCAUAGGACCAUGUCUGCAACAUUUUUUUGAGUGUGGGUAUGGGGGGGAAGCUAGUUGUAACAGAGGAUUUACAAGGGGUGAUCUCACAUCGGAGUCAGGGUGGUUGUUUUAGUUUAGUACAGGCUAACCUCAAACGAUACCUAGCAGCCACUACUCAACUGCAAUGCCUCCCCUGUGUUAUUCAUGUGUGUGAUUGAUCCCAUCAGCCUCCUCAUAUAUGUAAACUGUCCCUAAGAGGAUCAGCUCAAGUGGCUCUUAGAUUUGUCUUUGUACCAAACAACCCCCCCCCCCCCCCCCCCCCCACCCACGAAGGCGGGAGAACAAUAUUUCACCAUGCAUAAUUCACGUUGCGCUCAACUUUUAACGAGGUGCUAAAAAAUCCUGACAUGUGGGCCGCUCAACGGUCAAUGCUGCAACAUAAAUUCUUAAUACUUUUUUUAUGAGCUCUGCCAGUCCGAGGUGUUUAUCCAUAAUAAAAAUCUUGAAUUGUAAUUUACUGACAUAACAUUGGUCCCCAGUAGCUCAUAUUGCACGAAUAAAAGUCGAGUCCUGGGGAUUUUUUCUUCCUGUCUCAACAUCCUUUCAGGAGCUCAAUAUUUUCAUUUAUUCAAGGCUGCUUAUCUGAAAUGUAUGGAAGGCCCCAAAGUAUCUUAAUGGUCUUUCGUUUGUCAGUGGCUCAUCGCAUGCCUUUAAUGUCAAAACGCAUAGUUCACCAGGCUGUAUUAUUCGGCUUUCCUCGAACCAGUGCGUUCAUGUGCGGGUUUGCAACCUCAAUACACUGUCAUAAAGAAGGUGUUCGCCACUCACAUGCCUCGCCUCGCUAUCUCUCAGCAUGAUAGCCACUGCGUAAGUGGAAAAUAUUGUUUGAGCUCCAGGAUAAGGAGGAAGACAUAAACAUCUCUAUGUUUCUGGACCAUGAUAAUGAUUCCAUGUGCUACACGCUCACUUCUGUGUCCGCCCGCCCACCCGGCUCCUCAUUUCAAAUACAAGUGCACAUGCAGUCCUCAAGGCGAGAUGAAUGUUGUAACAAGUGUGUCAUAACUUGGAAAUGGCAUGACCUAUGAGCAACACAGCCUUGUUUCGAUAGUUCCCACACAUGGAAAAGUUUAUCCUGUGAGUGUACACCACUGAGCUACCUAAAAAAGGAAUAUUUGCAGUUUUUAGAGUAUGUUUUUAUGCUAAAUGGAGCCAAGGCGUUAUUUCAGUCAGGAAGAUAUGCUGAAUGAGCCUGUGGGAUUCACAGGUUAGGUUGCCUCCUCUCUUCCUUUGGUGACGCAAUGAGCUGAUUGUGGGCAGGCUGGUUUAGUAACAGCCUACCAAAUGCAGGAACCAUUUCCCUAAACCAAUCAAGUUUAAAGCAGUUAAUCUCGCUGCUACUGUCAGUUGUCAUUUCCGCACACACCUCUAAGCAGCAGCAAAACCCGAGGUAUCAUAAGAUCGGAGCAACCAUAGUCUCUACCACCACCAGUGUCUGGACUCCAUGGGGGGAUAAGCCUUAUCGGAUCACUGCAGCCAGGCCCCAACUCAUCCUACAGCAGGAUGGAGUCCAAGCCCCAAAAACUUUGCACUAUUCAGACUUACGGUGUUUAAUUAAUCAUUGUUAAAAAUGUAAGAAGUGUUUCCUGAUUGAAACUUUUUGUUGUUACUAUCGUUUUGUUUUUAAUUGGACCUUUGUCUUGACCUAGGAUCUAUAUCUAUAUAUAUAUAUAUGAUUCAGUGGGGGCACAAUAUAAAUAAAGAACAUUUGUAGUAUUCAAACAGAAUACAAUUACAAGAAUACAUUACUGUAAAAGAAAGGCAAAAGAGAGAAUAACUUUGGAAAUUGAUUUGACUAUAAUUAACUGAAGGUCCAGUAACUUUUUCCAGAGCUGAAGGCCACAGUCUCCAUCUGUCAUGGUUGCGUGGAGGAGGCAGGACUCAAACGCAGACUUCUCAGGAAACAAAAGACUUUAAUAGUCAAAAGGCCAAAAACACACAGGAACCAGGGGGAAAAACCGCAGGCAGGAAACUACGGACAUCCACGACGAUAGACAAUGACGCGACACUAUUAGAAACUAUUAGACGAUCACAGGGGAUGACGGGACAAGGCAGGAAGUGAAGUUACCCGGGAACACGAGUGGCAGAAAUCUACAAAAUACAACAGGAAGUGAACCACACCGUGACAGUACCCCCCCCUUAAGGGCCGAAUUCCAAACGGCUCACACCAGAGCGGACAAUGGGUGGGGGGGAGGGAAACCCGAGACGUUGGUCGGACCACCCGGGAAACUCUGGCGGGCGGCCAGACGACCGGGGAGCCUCUGGGGGUCGGCUUGGCGGACAGGCACACUGCCGGGUAGCCUCCGGUGGUCGGCCCGGGGGACGGUCAUUUGGCCGGCUCCGGAGCGACAACUGAAGGGCACGGAACGUCUCUGGAAUGGCAGGCUCUGAGACACGGGAAACCUCCGGGGUCGGCGGCGGCGGCUCGGGGACACCGAAUACGUCCGCAGUAGUCGGCGGCAGCUCGGGGACACGGAACACGUCCGCAGUAGUCGGCGGCAGCUCGGGGACACGGAACACGUCCGCAGUAGUCGGCGGCGGCUCGGGGACACGGAACACGUCCGCAGUAGUCGGCGGCGGCUCGGGGACACGGAACACGUCCGCAGUAGUCGGCGGCGGCUCGGGGACACGGAACACGUCCGCAGUAGUCGGCGGCGGCUCCAGCUCGGGGACACGGAACACGUCCGCAGUAGUCGGCGGCGGCUCCAGCUCGGGGACACGGAACACGUCCGCAGUCGGGGCGUCGGGGUCAUGAGUCUCGGAGCGGGGACUGGCCGAGUCGGGGUCAUGAGGGUCGGAGCGGGGACUGGCCGAGCCGUGGUCGGGGCUGAGAGUCUCGGGACGGGGACUGGCCGAGUCGGGGUCGGGGCUGAGAGUCUCGGGACGGGGACUGGCCGAGUCGGGGUCGGGGCUGAGAGUCUCUGGGUCGGAGGACCGAGUCGGGGAACGGGAGAUCGCUGCGGCGGCCCAGCGGGUACGGGAGAUCGCUGCGCCGGCCCAGCGGGAAGUCUGUGCUUCCUCUGGCCAGGGCUUCUCCUGGGAUUUAGAAGAUCCCGGAGCUCGAGGCAGGCGAGCUGAUAGCCCCUGGGACCAAAGAUGAAGUUGGUCUUCUGCCGCCAGAAGGGACUUCUUACGUCCAAGUACUCAGGUCCGUAAUCUGGCAGCGGGUCUGCUGAGCCCUUCUUUGGUCGCGUCAUUCUGUCAGGGAUGCGCGGGGGAGGCAGGACUCAAACUCAGACUUCUCAGGAAACAAAAGACUUUAAUAGUCAAAAGGCCAAAAACACACAGGAACCAGGGGGGAAAAACAGCAGGCAGGAAACUACGGACAUCCACGACGAUAGACAAUGACGCGACAAGUGACACAAGAGACACACUGCUUAAAUACUCAAGGGAGGUGCAGGUGAUUGGACACAGGUGGAAACUAUUAGACGAUCACAGGGGAUGACGGGACAAGGCAGAAAGUGAGUGAGUUACCCGGGGACACGAGUGGCAGAAAUCUACAAAAUACAACAGGAAGUGAACCACACCGUGACACCAUCAGUCAAUAUGAGUUAGCUAUUUCAAAACACAAAACUAUGGACAUUUGAUCCUCUUCAAUGCAGAAAAUCCACCGGGUUGAACAUGAUGAACUAGCAACUCUUUCUACUGACUGUCCUUGUGCACCUGCUGUGCUCUCAACUCUCCAUCAUUUGACAGCUUUUUUUGAAGUGCCAAUAAUCUCUUUACAUUUAGCCAGGACGUUUUCCAAACCACCGUCUUUUAGGGACACAGUGGUGGUCUUCUGCAGCAUGUGUCCCACGCAGGGUAGAUGUUGAGAUGGAAGUAGCCUAGCGCUACCAACAUGUUACUACCAGGUAGUAUCAGUCCCCGAGUGCUUCGUUUGCCACUCAGCGCCGUUCUGGUUGACACGUGGAGGAAUUCCUCUGCACAGUUCUCAGAUGUAUGUCGCACCUCUGUUUUACUUUCAAUGCAAAAAGCUCUCUCCAAUCUAACUCAGUGCAGGCCCACAGCUGUUUUGUGCCAAGGGUCAAUGCACACCGGAAGUAAACAACCCGCUUUAGGUUUUAAAUGCAUAAAAGAACCGCAUUUAUUCAUUGCACUAAGGCUUUUUGACAUUUCUCUAUUUCAAAAAAAUAAAAAUAAAAUUUUGAGAAUUAUAAAAUGCUCUAGUUGAAAUUAUGACCUUGUGACAGAGCUCCAGCAUCUGCUUGCAUGGGUAAUAGAGAGGUAUUCCCUGCUGCAUUCUAUUGAUCUAGCUGUGUAAAUACUCCUAUAGAUUGCUGCCAAACAUGCUGCAGAUGUUUUACGGGAACCCCCCUCAUACAGGAUGCAGAAAAAAUGUAUUCUAAUGUAAAAGUAAUGCUCAGUGGAAGGCUCACAGUUAAACCAAGCCAUUUCAAAACAUUACUGUCCAUUUGACCUACGUUUAUCGCCCGUGUUACAGUGGCAUUUCAUGCUUAUGUGCAAACAUACAGACACACAAUUGUCUUUCGUCGAAGCCUAAACUCUAAACACGGAAAAUCCAAAACAGAUGCACCUGCCUGCUGUACCCCCACCACCCUCCCCAAGUGGAGCUUAACGUUCACAGCGCCAAGUUGUUUCUGUUGGCGAAUUCAAUGUGUGCCUUAUUUUUCCUUCAGCAUCCUGGGGCAAGUUCACGUGGAGCCUUUACCCAGGGGGUGCUGGUUUCAGACACUGUGAGAAAUAUUGGACGAUCAAGGAAACGAAUGACAAACUCUUUGAUGGAAACUGCUUCUUUUAGAACUCCCCUUUUUGUACUUUUAGUAUGACUCUUGACAAUUCCAUCACAGCAACGACACAGCCUGUAUUCUGAACACAGAUGCUCUUCUAUUUGCAAUACCUGGGGAUCUGUAUUCAUGACACAGCAGUUUUCAUGCACACAGAACGCUACAAUGCAUGACACACCCCAACAUUGCAUCCCUCUUUACAGGUUGUGCAUUUUAUCCUCUUUUUAAUCAUAUUGGGGUAUUUGGUCACUGUCUUUUGUGGUUUCAGGGGUGCCUGCAUCCCUGCCAAGCAAUGUCCCAUUGAGUCUGGAUCAAAUCAUUUGGUUGUGGUUGACUUAUUAGUGUGACACGGAACACGUCAGCAGUAGUCGGCGGCGGCGGCUCCAGCUCGGGGACACGGAACACGUCAGCAGUAGUCGGCGGUAGCUCGGGGACACAGAACACCUCCGCAGUAGUCAGCGGCGGCUCCAGCUCGGGGACACUGAACACCUCCGCAGUCGGCGGCUCAGCCCCCCCAUAGCCCCCCCACUCAAGGGCCGGAUCCCAGACGGCCCUCAAAUCAUCAACGGGAGGGUGGGAGAGGACCAUGGGGCGGGAGGGAGGGAAUCCGAGUCUCGGAGCGGGGACUGGGGGCGUCGGGGCCAUGAGUCUCGGAGCGGGGACUGGGGGCGUCGGGGCCAUGAGUCUCGGAGCGGGGACUGGCCGAGUCGGGGUCGGGGCCGAGAGUCUCGGAGCGGGGACUGGCCGAGUCGGGGUCGGGGCCGAGAGUCUCGGAGCGGGGACUGGCCGAGUCGGGGUCGGGGCCGAGAGUCUCGGAGCGGAGACUGGCCGAGUCGGGGCCGAGAGUCUCGGAGCGGGGACUGGCCGAGUCGGGGUCGGGGCCGAGAGUCUCGGAGCGGGGACUGGCCGAGUCGGGGUCGGAGGACAGAGUCGGGGAACGGGAGAGCGCUGCGGCGGCCCAGCGGGAACGGGAGAGCGCUGCGGUGGCCCAGCGGGAACGGGAGAGCGCUGCGGUGGCCCAGCGGGAAGGGGAGAGCGCUGCGGCGGCCCAGCGGGAACGGGAGAGCGCUGCGGCGGCCCAGCGGGAACGGGAGAGCGCUUCUUCCGCUUGCUCCUCCUUGGGUUAAGGAGGUCCCGGAGCUCGAGGCAGGCGAGCUGAUAGCUCCUGGGACCAAAAACAAAAUUCGUUUUCCGCUGCCAGAAGGGACUUCUUACGUCCAGGUAGUCCGGACCGUAGUCUGGCAGCGGGUCUGCUGAGUCCGAUGGUCGCGUCAUUCUGUCAGGGUUGAGGGUGGAAGGCAGGACUCAAAUGCAGACUUGCAGGAAACAAAAGGCUUUAAUAGUUACAAGAUCCAAAAUCCAAAAGGCCAAGGGGCAAAAACACACAGGCAUGAACUACGGACAUCCAAGACAAAAGACAAGGACAUGCAUGGCAAAAGACAAUGACGCGACAAGUGACACAAGAGACACACGGCUUAAAUACACAAGGGAGGUGCAGGUGAUUGGACACAGGUGGAAACUAUUAAGACGAUCACAGGGGAUGACGGGACAAGGCAGGAAGUGAAGUUACCCGGGGACACAAGUGGCAGAAAACUACAAAAUAUAACAUGAAGUGAACCACACCGUGACACCGGGUGAUCACCGGGUGAUCCAUGCAGGGGAGCUAUUGGAGUGGGGCGUGGUCCGGACAGAGGGUGAAUGAGCGUCCCAAGAUGUAGUAGCGCAGGGAAUCCACCGCCCAUCCUAUGGUCAGGCACUCCUUCUCCACCGUGCUGUACCUGGCAUCUCUUUCGGCGACCGCCCCGUGUUAUACAUCAGCUGAAAGCUGGCUGAUGUAUAACACGGGGCGGUCGACCCCCCCACACCUCCUGGGAGAAAACGCCCCUCAGGCCCCUGUCCGAUGGUUCGGUCUGCAGAGUAAAGGGUGAGGGGUGUGGAGGAGUGGCAGCAUAUGCAGCGUGCGGACACAGCACCCAAUCCAUAAGUGGCUGGUGCACCGAAAAAGCCAAAGGGAAGUGGGGUAAAUCUGUAUAACCCAUACGGAGUGGGGAAAACAGUUUUCUCCUUUGGCUCUGACGGCAGAGGAAUCUGCCAGUAGCGUUAGUCAAAUCCAGGGUCGUAAAGAAGUGCAGUGCCCAGCCGGUCCAGGAGUUUGUGGACCCGGAGCAUUGGGUAGGCAUCAAAUCGUGACAUGUCAUUCACCCUGCGAUAGUCCACACAGAAUCAUACCGACCCAUCUUUCUUAGUCACCAGAACAAUGGGGCUAAACCAGGCACUGUUCUAGUACCCCCCAUCUUCGACAUAGCAGCCAAUUCCCCCCCAAACCACUUUUCUUUUGUGUUUGGGCAUCCUGUAGGGUCAUGACCCUACCGUUACCCCUGGAGGAUUCUCGAUUCGGUGAACUAUCAGGUUGGUUCAGCCUGGCAGAGGGGAGAACACGUCAACACGUCUGCUCCUGCAACUGGGCAAUGUCUGUUCUCUGGUCCUCGGAGAGACAGGCUUUGUAUGGAACUAGGGUGGGAUUAAGAGCUUUUGGCACAUCCGGCCCCAGCUCCUCUCUUUCUGAUACCGCGGACAUCAGAGAAACAGACUCCGCCUCCCUCCAGGCUUUCAGGAGGUUUAGGUGGUAUAUUUGCGUAGCUCCGCCCCCGUCAGACCGCACCAUCUCAUAGUCGACAUUCCCCACCUGUGACCUCAAAAGGCCCUUGCCACUUGGCCAGGAGUUUGGAGUUGGAAGAAGGAAGUAAUACAAGUACCUGUUCUCCCGGUGUGAAUUGUCGCAGCCUGGCUCCUCUGUCAUACAGCCGUUGUUGCCGUUCCUGUGUCCGGAGCAAAUUCUCCCAUGACACUUACCCAGUCUGUGGAUAUUUGCUCGCAGGUCCAGGAUAUACUAGAUCUCGUUCUUACCGGGUCUCGGACCUUCCUCCCAGUUUUCUUUAAUUAGGUCCAGCACCCCCCUCUGUGUCCUGCCAAACAAAGGUUCAAAGGGAGAAAAUCCCGCCGAGGCCUGGGGAACCUCCUGUACUGCAAACAGCAGAGGAUCAAGCCAUUUAUCCCAAUUAAGUUUAUCUUCGCUAAUAAAUUUUGGGAUCAUGGACUUUAGAGUCUAGUUCCACCAGCCCAUCGGUCUGCAGGUGGUACACCCUAGUCCAAAUAGAUUUAACGCCAAGUAACCCGUAAAGUUCUCUCAGUAUACGCAACAUGAACAUGGUUAGUCAGAAUCUUUUUCUGGAUUCUGACCCGGGAGAUUACCUGAAACAGAGUCUGCACGACACUCUUUACAGAUAUAUUGUUCAACGGCACUGCCUCCGGAUAUCGUGUUGCUUAAUCCAUUAGGACUAACAGAAAGCGAUAUCCGCGUGCGCUCCCGUGAAAUGUACCGAGGAGGUCCAUGGCGAUUCUUUCGAUUGGAACCUCCACCAAGGCUAUAGGACGCAACGCCGCCCCCGGAAUGCCCGGGUGGUUAAGUAAUUGGCACUCCGGACAGGACGCACACCAGCGACGCGUGUCCCCCCAAAUGCCUGGCCAAUAAGGUCAGGUCAUUAUCCUGUCCGGUGUUUUCCCGUACCCCAUAUACCCAGCAAUCAGGUUAUAGUGAGCCGUCUGGAAUAAUUUCCCGGCGGCUUUUCGGCAACAGCAACUGGGCGUUUUCCUGGGUCAGAGUGUCACGACUCAAUCAAUCUAAUGAGAAGUAAGGAUAUGAUUGCGCUGCGUCAGGGCGCACCAGCUGACCAUCAAUUCUUGCUCAGCCUUCUUGGUCGUAGGCUGAGCGUAGAGUAUCGUCACAAGCUGCUGCUCGAGUGGAAAAUCUUCCAUGGAUUGAAUCUCGGGAGCUGGUGGAGUCUCCACGGGAGGCUCCGCUGGUUCGUUACGCACGGCCAGUGGCAGCCCCAUGGCCGCCGUCUGCGCCUCUUUCCGUCAGAAGAGGUAAAAGCUGGACCGGUCACUCCCCCGUCGAAGGCCUCCAAAAACAACUGUACGUCAUCCUACGCAGUCAUGCGUUGGAGCGUCGGCCCGGCUAGCCGGUCGCGCCGCCAGUUGUUCCAGUGCUUUAGCCUGUCUCCCCACCUGGGCCUGGACCGCCAGCUCGCCAAUCAUCUUGCCCAGCACUAUGAGCCCAACUUGGGUGCCACUGUAACAGGUGUAGACCUCGCGGCGUGCAGCUUCCUCGUCUGGCAGCUCCCUCUGCCCCACCGGGUCGCCCCUACUGCGUUUAAGUACCCGUUAGACAAACACAAUCAUCAUUUUCUUCAGCUGAGGCCAUUUGCCUCCACCUGGCACCGUUCCCUGAGCCACUCCCACUCUCUCCCCCCUCUGCAGCUGAGCCAAAAGCAUUGUGGUACAAACUCAGAUAACAUCCUGUCUGUCUUUACUGUGUCCUUGAAUGGCCUCUUGUCUGGCUCACAGUAUCUAACGGUAGCUCUCCUUGGGACUUCAGCCAUGUCCAAUUUAGAGGGAGAGAGUUGUUUGUUGGAGUGACUAAAGGGUUGGACCGCUAACCUGUUUGCGGGAAGUUGCUCAGCUUAGGCCUCAUUGCAUGAAGCACAGUGAGGGUUAUGGAUCAUAUGUUUAACUUCCUGCCCUGUCGUGUCACGCCCUGUGAUUAUCGGCCGUGGGCAUAGUUUCAAUCCUAUUAGGUUCCAUAAGUGUUUAAUGUGGAAGUUAUAUUUGAGCUACACUGAUCUAUAUACAGAUGGGGGGACAAAUUAGGAAAGUUUCUCAAUGUCACUGUACAAGGGAGGGACCAUGAUGAAAUUACUAGAAAGGAAAUUAUCCUAACUAAACAAAACUCUGCAUCAUGCCUUUUAAUUCAAUAGUGAGUUCCAUGUAUGCAUUUUUGUAUAAAGGACCAAGCUAUGUUAUUUCAUCAUAAAGUCAACUCAUCAAGACAAAAACGUCCUUGAGUUAUUGAACAUGACACACUACCUCCCCGCAAGAAUCUUUCCCUGAACAAAGCAGUAGGCAAAGCAUAUGAGACUAAUUUUAAGUCAUGUUAGCAAUGUGGCUGUGGGGAUAGCAAUGAUUGUCGGUCUGCUCCACACUUUGCUCCGGACAGAAAUAUCUCAACAACUGUUUGAUUUUACAGACUGUAAUGCUGUGACAUUUUGGACAGGCAUUCAUUGUCCCUACAGACGAAAUUCAAGUAAUUUGACACCAGUACGACCAUGAGGUCAACAUUUUAAGGUUCAGAUGAAAGUCAAACUGUUGGCUGUUCUUUCUGAAUUGUGAUCCUUCUUGUUAUAAACUCUAGGUCAAAAUGUUCAUGCUGUCAAUGUCCAAACAUCAACGAAAUUAACAUUGCAGUUAAGGUACACAAACUUCAUUAAAAAUUCAGAUGUGGUCCCUUUUUUAACGGACUACAAACAAAAACAUCAGCAUUUAACUAAGAUGAAUAUUUUUUUUAAUCAGCUGCAAUUUUCACGGUUUUGUCUGAAAACGUUGCAUUUUGCAAUCGAGUAGUUGUUAUUCCUUUCCGAUUUUCUUUGCACCAAGCAGGCCCGUAAUGUUGCUUCUUUACUCAAAUUUGUCACAGCGAGGUGGCGGAAGCAGGACUCAAUCGGGACGGCAGUCAGGAAUCGGGCACGGGGGUUCCGGCGACAGUUGACUGGCCACUGGAUUCUGGGUACCCGACAGGUCUCGGGGAGCCAGGAACGGGGGCACCGGCGACACGGGACGAGAAGCCUCCGUCAGGAGAUCGGGGAGCCGGGAAUGGAGUCGGGGACAAGCGUCGGAGAGGCGGGACUGGAGUCGGGGACAGGCGUCAGAGAGGCGGGAGAAAGCGUCGGGGAGCCAGGACUGGAGUGGGGGGCAAAGGUCGGGGAGACUGGACUGAGUUGGGGGCAAGAGUCGGGGAGACGGGACUGGAGUCGGAGAAAAAGUCGGGGUCAGGUGGCCGGAACCGGAGUCGGUGUCAGGCAUCGGGGAGCAGGACCGGAGGUGAGCUGUGGCCCGGCAGGCGGUGGUGCGGAGGUCCGCGGCUGGCCACAGCGUCGACCGGAGAAUGGCAAGAACGGCGACCGGAACCGCGACGGGCAGCAGGUUGCAUGCCGCGUUGCCGGCCCAGAACUGGUUUGAAGGAAACAAUUCUCUACAGUCCUUGUAGGUUGGAGUCAUUCUGUCACAGCAAGGUGGUGGAAGCAGGACUCAAUCGCAGAACUUUAUUUAGACAAGGG
ensembl:lncRNA